rnacentral:rRNA from 1 species
UACGGAGAUGGCAAGCGUUGCUCGGAUUUACUGGGCAUAAAGCGCACGUAGGCGGGCCCACAAGUCGGUUGUGAAAUCCUGGGGCUUAACCCCAGAACUGCGGCCGAUACUAUGGGCCUUGAGGGUGAGAGGGGAGAGUAGAACUUCUGGUGGAGCAGUGAAAUGCGUAGAGAUGUGGAGGAACACCGAUGGCGAAGGCAGCCCCUGGGCCAAUACUGACGCUCAUGCACGAAAGCGU